GAUGAAGAACGUAGCAAAAUGCGAUAAGUAGUGUGAAUUGCAGAAUUCAGUGAAUCAUCGAGUCUUUGAACGCACAUUGCGCCCCCUGGUAUUCCGGGGGGCAUGCCUGUCCGAGCGUCAUUGCUGCCCUCAAGCACGGCUUGUGUGUUGGGCCUCCGUCCUCCUCCCGGGGGACGGGCCCGAAAGGCAGCGGCGGCACCGCGUCCGGUCCUCGAGCGUAUGGGGCUUCGUCACCCGCUCUUGUAGGCCCGGCCGGCGCUUGCCGACACAUCAAUCUUUUUUCCAGGUUGACCUCGGAUCAGGUAGGGAUACCCGCUGAACUUAAGCAUAUCAAUAAGCGGAGGA
rnacentral:misc_RNA from 1 species